rnacentral:rRNA from 1 species
AUUCCAGCUCCAAUAGUGUAUAUUAAAGUUGUUGCAGUUAAAGAGCUCGUAGUUGAAGUUUGGUCUCGGACGCUGGGUCUGCUUAAUUGCAUGUACUUGACGGUCCGAGACUUCCUUCUUGGUGAACGGCCGCCUUCGGGUGGUCCGGAACCAGGACUAUUACUUUGAAAAAAUUAGAGUGUUCAAAGCAGGCCAUAGGCCCGAAUAUAUUAGCAUGGAAUAACAGAAUAGGACGUGCGGUUCUAUUUUGUUGGUUUCUAGAACUGCCGUAAUGAUUAAAAGGGACAGCCGGGGGCAUUAGUAUUUGCACGCUAGAGGUGAAAUUCUUGGAUUGUGCAAAGACUUCCUACUGCGAAAGCAUUUGCCAAGAAUGUUUUCAUCG